rnacentral:rRNA from 1 species
GAACGCACCUUGCGCUCCUUGGUAUCCGAGGAGCAUGCCUGUUUGAGYUGUCAUU